rnacentral:rRNA from 1 species
UACAGGGGGUGCAAACGUUGCUCGGAAUCAUUGGGCGUAAAGCGCACGUAGGCGGCUUUGCAAGUCGGAUGUGAAAUCCCUCGGCUUAACCAAGGAAGUGCAUCCGAAACUGCAGAGCUUGAGUACUUAAGAGGAUCGCGGAAUUCCCGGUGUAGAGGUGAAAUUCGUAGAUAUCGGGAGGAACACCAGUGGCGAAGGCGGCGAUCUGGGAAGAUACGUGACGCUGAGGUGCGAAAGCGUGGGGAGCAAACAGG